rnacentral:tRNA from 1 species
CAAAUUUAUAAGAUAAGUAAUCUAAAAACCUUCAAAGUUUUAAAUAGCUAAAAGAAGCUUGAAUUUGA